rnacentral:rRNA from 1 species
CGCUCUUUGCCUGCCAAAUAUAAAGAGUCGAACCUGCCCAGUGAUUUAUUUAACGGCCGCGGUACUCUGACCGUGCAAAGGUAGCAUAAUCAUUUGCCUUAUAAUUAAAGGCUAGUAUGAAUGGUUUGACAAGAAUAGAGCUGUCUCUACAUAAAUUUUACAGAAUUUGGUUUUUAGGUGAAGAAACCUAAAUAAAAUUGAAAGACAAGAAGACCCUAUCGAGCUUAAAAUAACUCACUUGAAAUCUUUACUAACAUUAGUUUCACGUCUAAAUUUUGGUUGGGGCGACUAAGGAACACAAAAAGCUUCCUAUAAAAUUUAUGCACUUUUACGUUUUGAUCCAAAAAUUUUGAUUAACAGAAUUAGUUACCGUAGGGAUAACAGCAUAAUCUUUUUUAAGAGUUCCUAUCGAAAAAAAGGCUUGUGACCUCGAUGUUGGACUAGGAUACCCAUAAAGGUGCAGAAGCCUUCAAUGGUUGGUCUGUUCGACCAUUAAUAUCCUACA